AGACCCGAAACCCGGUGAUCUAGCCAUGGGCAGGUUGAAGGUUGGGUAACACUAACUGGAGGACCGAACCGACUAAUGUUGAAAAAUUAGCGGAUGACCUGUGGCUGGGGGUGAAAGGCCAAUCAAACCGGGAGAUAGCUGGUUCUCCCCGAAAGCUAUUUAGGUAGCGCCUCGUGAAUUCAUCUCCGGGGGUAGAGCACUGUUUCGGCUAGGGGGCCAUCCCGGCUUACCAACCCGAUGCAAACUGCGAAUACCGGAGAAUGUUAUCACGGGAGACACACGGCGGGUGCUAACGUCCGUCGUGAAGAGGGAAACAACCCAGACCGCCAGCUAAGGUCCCAAAGUCAUGGUUAAGUGGGAAACGAUGUGGGAAGGCCCAGACAGCCAGGAUGUUGGCUUAGAAGCAGCCAUCAUUUAAAGAAAGCGUAAUAGCUCACUGGUCGAGUCGGCCUGCGCGGAAGAUGUAACGGGGCUAAACCAUGCACCGAAGCUGCGGCAGCGACGCUUAUGCGUUGUUGGGUAGGGGAGCGUUCUGUAAGCCUGUGAAGGUGGCCUGUGAGGGUUGCUGGAGGUAUCAGAAGUGCGAAUGCUGACA
rnacentral:rRNA from 1 species